rnacentral:pre_miRNA from 1 species
UGACCUUAUAGGACCUGCAUUGUACACACUGUGUGUAUGGACUGGAGGUGCACAGCGCAUACAAUGUGGAUGCUAUAGAAGUCA